UCCUCGAAGCCCCCCAGGGGGAUUUUUGGCCAAUGGGGGAAACCUUGACCCAGGGACCCCGGGUGGGGGAAAAAGGCCUUCGGGUUGUAAACCCCUUUUAGGUGGGACGAAUUCCUCCCGGUUAAAAGCCGCCAGGUUUGACGGUACCUCCAGAGAAAGCCCCGGCUAAUUCCGUGCCAGCAGCCGCGGUAAUACGUAGGGGGCAAGCGUUGUUCGGAAUUAUUGGGCGUAAAGGGCGCGUAGGCGGCUUGGCAAGUCGGGUGUGAAAUCCCUCGGCUCAACCGGGGAAUGUCGUUGGAAACUGCCUGGCUAGAGUCCGGAAGAGGGAAGUGGAAUUCCCGGUGUAGGGGUGAAAUGCGUAGAUAUCGGGAGGAACACCGGUGGCGAAGGCGGCUUCCUGGCCCGUACCUGACGCUGAGGCGCGAAAGCGUGGGGAGCAAACAGGAUUAGAUACCCUGGUAGUCCCACGCCGUAAACGAUGGGCACUAGGUGUGGGGGGUAUCGACCCCGCCCGUGCCGCAGCUAACGCAUUAAGCGCCCCGCUGGGGGUACGGCCGCAGGCGAAUCCC
rnacentral:rRNA from 1 species